UCGAGAAUUUCUCGCAAUGGGGGAAACCCUGACGGAGCGACGCCGCGUGGAGGAUGAAGGUCUUCGGAUUGUAAACUCCUGUCAUUGGUGAACAAGGUGCUUCGAGUAACUAUCGAGGUAAUUGCUAGUAGCCGAAGAGGAAGGGACGGCUAACUCUGUGCCAGCAGCCGCGAUAAUACAGAGGUCCCGAGCGUUGUUCGGAUUCAUUGGGCGUAAAGGGUGCGUAGGCGGCUUGCUAAGUCUGAUGUGAAAUCCUGGGGCUCAACCCCGGAACUGCAUUGGAUACUGGCGGGCUAGAGAUCUGGAGAGGAAACUGGAAUUUACGGUGUAGCAGUGAAAUGCGUAGAGAUCGUAAGGAAGACCAGUGGUGAAGGCGAGUUUCUGGACAGAUUCUGACGCUGAGGCACGAAGGCCAGGGGAGCAAACGG
rnacentral:rRNA from 1 species